rnacentral:rRNA from 1 species
CAUAAUGCUCUUUUAAAGUAUGGAUUUAAUAAUUUUAGUCUAGAAAUUUUAGAAUACUGUGAACAAGGAGUAGAUCCUAUAACAAGAGAACAAUACUACUUUGGUCUCUUAAACCCUGAAUAUAAUAUAUUAGAAAUAGCUGGCUCAUCUUUAGGUUUCAAACAUAGCGAUGAAACUUUAAAAUUUUUUAAAAAUAGUCGUAAAGUGAGCGAAGCUACAAAAAAUAAUCUAUCUUUAGCUGCAACAGGUAGAAUAUUAACUGAAAGUGAUAAAGUAAAAAUAUCUCUGGCACGUAAAGGUAUUAAACUUUCAGAUGAAACACGUGCUAAAAUUUCAGCAGUAACUACAGCCCGUAUAGGUGUUCCAGUUAUAGUAAAAAACGUAAAUACUAAUACAGAAUUAGAAUAUACAAGCUUAACUGAUGCAGCGUUAGCGAUAGGUGUUAGUAGAACAGCUGUAAAAAAAGUUGUGGAUACAGGUAAAACUGUUAAAAAACAGUAUAUAGUGGCAACCAAAAAUUAAGAAAGUAUUUUAUUAUUCGUUAAAUGGAUAGCUAUUAGCUAUUUAGGGAGAAGGACCUCAGCUCGACCUUGACGUUACAAAGGUUAAAGAGUGUCGCAUCUGUUUCUGCGAAACCUAUAUAAGUAGGAUAUUCAAGUUAAAUCAUAGCAGGUACAGAACUGUGAUCUCAGGCAACUUAAUAUUUAUUCUUUAAGUAUUUAAACUAUAAAUAACUUUGCAUAUAUCGGGCAAUCGUGAAGAUUUUAUCGGUGAGUAUUCGCACUCGGAAGGGCAAUGAUCAAUAGUUAUACAUUGAAAAAUAAUAUGUGGUACUGAUGAGGGAAAACACGGUUUGUAUUUUAUCUGACUAUACUUUAUCAGCUACGUAAGUAGCUACAGCAACUCAGCCGAACGGUCCAUCGCUCCUUGAUUAAUUUCGGAACGGAGAGGAAUCCAUCUCAAGUACUGAUAUAAAGGAAGAGUAAUAUAUAUUAAUUAAUUUUAAAUACAUUUAAUAUACAACCUGUGAAUGCCUAAAUUAAGUCUUCUUUAUUUUUUUUUUGUAUAUCUAAACGUAUUGAAUAAUCGGACAUAGUACGAUAAGGUUGUAUGUCAAAAGGGAAACAGCCCAGAGCAAGAGUUAAGGUUCCAAAAUUAUUGUUAAGUGAAACUAAGGAAGUUUCUAUCUAAUACAACUAGGAAAUAGGCUUAGAAGCGGUCCAUUUUUUGAAGAUCUCGUAACAGAGCACUAGUUUAGUAAAUAAAGUUUACAACGAUAGUUGCGCCGAAAAUUUAACGGAUCUAAACAAUAUACCGACACCUUGCCCAUAUUUAUUAAUAAUAUAUAUUAUUAUAUCAUGGGGUAGCAGAACGUUGGGUAAAUUAAUAGACGUCAGACUUUUUAAGUCUAAUAGUGGAAACACGGUAUCCCAAGUGAGAAUGCUGACAUGAGUAACGAAAAAGGGUCCAGAUGGCCCUCGCCUAAAGCUUAUGGAUUUGUUAAAGUAACGGCCUCUAAGUUUACUAACCUAAAGGAUUAAACGAUGAGUAAACCUUGCCUACAUAGUAACAACCCUCUUCUUAAAAAUUUUUAUUUUGUAAGAAAAGUGAAGAAGGUUCUGGAAAAACAUGUAGUUACUAAUAUUAAAACAAACUCAAGUAGAUGAUUAGUGUUAAUAACGGGCUUAUUUAUUAUUGUAAUAAACUAAAAAGCGUGAAUGAUAAUAAAGGGAAAUAAUAAACAAACCGUACCUAAAUACUACCACAAGUAAGCUAGUAGAGAAUACGAAGGCGUUUGAGUGAACAAUCAUUAAGGAACUCGGCAAACUAACUACCGUAACUUCGGGAUAAGGAGAGCCAUUCUUAUUUAUUAAUAUAGGUAAAGAAUAGGAAGCAUGGAAUAGUGUUGUGCGACUGUUGUGCGCCGUUUAAUUAUAUAUACGCCCGUUUUUAAGUAGGAAUAGGAAUUGAGUUUCAACAGAUAACUUGAUACUAUUCACCUUAAUUACCAGAUAGUUUUCGAUAUCUGUAAAGCAUUGUACUUAUCCUUGACUAUAAAGGGUGUCAACCUAGGUCUUGUAAACCUCGUAAGAGGGAGGGGAGUGUAGCAUGUACAAAAAGCGAGAGGAAGGAUCUGAGGAUGCGAAGACUUAAGAAAUGACAACCUACUCGCGAGCUAAAGAUUACAUGGCUCAAUGAAGAAAAGUUUUGGUCCGGAUAGCGCACCGGGUUGGAUAGAAUGGGGUAAUGACCAUUCAUGCGCAUCUACAAGCCAAUUGAGGGUACUUUUGUUUAUUGAACAGUGAAACAAAGGAGAAAACUACUCUCAGCCAAGUAACAGAGUGAAGACUUAUAAACUGCAAUCAUCAAUUAGAUGAAAGUGAGAGCCUAAAUAAUCAUAAAGACGUAUAUAUAAGAACUCGGGAAAUCUUUAGACAGUAUUCUGUCACAUCUUCAAUCUAAUCUGGAUUGUCGAUUAUUUAUAUAAAUAUUAUUAAUGAAACGCAUUAAUUUGAACAAUUUUUCAAGAAGGAGCCCCUCAGAAUUGAUAAGAUACAGUCGGGCAUAAAAACUUCUAGAUGUUUAAGGAGAAACUCUUGUAGGCCCAACCUUCGAAGGGUAAAACUUUGUCUUGGGGCUGACCCCCCCUUGCCAAAGGGGACAAGCCUUGAAUUAUUGAAGGUGAAUGAGCUAGUGAUAACAUGAGAACAUAGAUAUGAAGAGUAGGUGUCACUCGAUGAAUUUUAGGAAUGUGACCUGAUUGUAAACCUCUCUGAGGUUAAGAUACUCUCCAUCAAGUUAACGAGAACUAUCGUACUCAGAGAAUUCUGAAGUAGCGGAAUACCGGUAAGUGGAGUAAUAUACUUCCUUAGCAACGUGAAUUGGAGACAAAAAUCCUUCAAUAAGGGACAAUCAAUUAUAAUGACUAAUCUUUUGACGAAUGAGCACGACUUGGAGUUACCUUGGAUACUCUCUUACACUAGAUUUCAUUCUGCUCGCAAUAAAAAAUACUCAUUCAAAUAAAUAAAAAGUCAACUAC